UAGCGGCGUCCCUCUUGAGUCACUAAAUUAGGAUAGUGUAAUAAGCUCUGUAGUUGGGUAGGGCAAAGAUUUUUGAUGUUUAUUUUGAUCCUUAUAAGAAAGAUUAUAUAUGUCGUCUACCCAGCACGGAUAUCUCCGGCCAAAAAAAAGCCAUACACUUUUCAAGAUUUCCGUCCAGUAUUUUGUGCCGGUAUUUGUUACGUACUGAGAUCUCCGGCCAUUUUUACCCCAGUCGAAAAGCAGUUUUAUUAAAAUCAAAAUAAAGGUGCUUUUCGACUGAAUUUGCUCGGAUGGAAAAAAAGUGUGCGUGUAAUCUUUAUGCGCGAUUGAAGUAAAACUUUUUCGAUGAGCGUUACUUCCGUCAGAAAAAAAUCCCUCUAGUCGCGCCUAAGGAAAUUUACUUCAAAAAACCCUUGUAUCAAAUCUGGGGUGGUGGCCCACGCGGGUAGGAAGCGGGAGACAAGGGCAACAAACAAUUGGCCGGUAAUCUCCGGCCUGGGUAGAUAGGGGUGCUUUUUUUGCCAGCUUGGUAGACGACAGGUUAGAUGAAUCUUUGCCCGAUGACAUUGAGCAUUUGCAGUAAAUAGCAGCAUAAUAUUAUAGUUAUUUUGUUAUUGUGGAAAUUAAAUCUUCUGUGUAUUGUAAAACAUUGCAGUAAAAAAGUAGCUUAAUGCAAUAUUGAUAUGUCAAAAUAAAUAUUGAAAACAUACAUGUUAUUUAAAAAAUCUCACGAUUAGGCGAUAUUGAAGAUAUUUUUAGGUUUUAUUUUAUGUUUCUAGAUUGCAUUUCGUCGGUUUCCGAAUAAGACAAUAAAAUUAUUCACUGCGUUAGCAUUUAUAGUUUUGAUUAAUUCGUGCUGUCCUGUUUAGAUGCCAAAAUGCGAGUGGAAUGUUCACUGACAAAUAUGUUUACGAAUGUUUGUACUUUUAUAUAUAAAAAAAAAGAUGUAAAAUAAUGUAUGUUUUAUAUUAUAUGUUUCACAUAAACAUUAGAAAAAUAAAUUAUGACUAUGGUU